rnacentral:rRNA from 1 species
AUGCGCCAAGUCCUCAGCAAGACCUGUUUUUUGUCAAAUUCGGCUAUGCGGCUGUGGCCUCAGAUUUGGACUGCAAGCGACAAGUACCCCACCGGCAAGAUCACACAGAUGCUCGAACAACUACAUACCGAAACACCAAGUCCCUUUUCGAACGUGUACGACUACCGUCGACUUCGGAUCCAUCAAGUUCAACAACGACUGUGUAUAACUAUCUGCGACCCCGAACGACUACGAAACGUGAACCUCUACUUCCCCUUCAAAAUGUGUACCACUACUACCGCUGCCUGA